UAGGGAAUCUUCCACAAUGGGCGCAAGCCUGAUGGAGCAACACCGCGUGAGUGAAGAAGGGUUUCGGCUCGUAAAACUCUGUUGUUAAAGAAGAACAUAUCUGAGAGUAACUGUUCAGGUAUUGACGGUAUUUAACCAGAAAGCCACGGCUAACUACGUGGCAG
rnacentral:rRNA from 1 species